GACGAACGCUGGCGGCGCGCUUAACACAUGCAAGUCGAGCGAGAACCAGGGCUUCGGCCCUGGGGACAGCGGCGAACGGGUGAGUAACACGUGGGUAAUCUGCCCUCGGCAUCGGGAUAGCCCGGGGAAACCCGGAUUAAUACCGAAUAGCCUCCGGAGCUCUCGGGCGCCGGAGAAAAGGUAGCUUCGGCCUCUGGCCGAGGAUGAGCCCGCGGCGGAUUAGCUUGUUGGCGGGGUAACGGCCCACCAAGGCGACGAUCCGUAGCUGGUCUGAGAGGACGAUCAGCCACACUGGGACUGAGACACGGCCCAGACUCCUACGGGAGUCAGCAGUGGGGAAUCUUGCGCUAAUGCGGGAAACCGUGACGCAGCGACGCCGCGUGGGGGAAGAAGGCCUUCGGGUUGUAAACCUCUUUCAGGAGGGACGAAGCUACUCGGGUGAAUAGCCCAGAGGGUGACGGUACCUCCAGAAGAAGCCCCGGCUAACUACGUGCCAGCCGCCGCUGUAAUAC
rnacentral:rRNA from 1 species